rnacentral:rRNA from 1 species
UACGUAGGGUGCGAGCGUUGUCCGGAAUUAUUGGGCGUAAAGAGCUCGUAGGCGGCUUGUCGCGUCGGAUGUGAAAGCCCGGGGCUUAACUCCGGGUCUGCAUUCGAUACGGGCAGGCUAGAGUUCGGUAGGGGAGAUCGGAAUUCCUGGUGUAGCGGUGAAAUGCGCAGAUAUCAGGAGGAACCCCGGUGGCGAAGUCGGCUCUCUGGGCCGAUACUGACGCUGAGGAGCGAGAGCGUGGGGAGCGAACAGG